rnacentral:sRNA from 1 species
UGUAGUAGUCUGUUGCUUCAUAGAUGUCUUUGCCGAGGGUUGCAGGGUAUUUCUUCAUGGCAGCCGUUACAUAUUUGCCUGGGUUUGGUGUUAGUUCCGAUGUGGUCUUAUAUGCAUCGAACAGUGGAAACUGCGCGUUCUCACUAACUGGCAAACUCAACGUAAACACCCCAUCUUCCCCCUUCCGUAACAUCUUCUCAAAAUUACUCAUAAAGUACCCCGGCAACACAAAGGUGGCCGGCAACCCAAUGCUCCGGACAUACUUCUCAACAUUCGCCUUGCUGUCAAAGUGGCUCACAUUCGGCAAGCGGCCCUGAGUAACAUCGGUGACAUUGACAAGUGACGAGAAGAUGAAAUGGGAAACCCCAGCAGAUUUGGCGGCAUCAGCAACAUUUUUGCCCUGGGAAUAUUCAACCUCUGGCUUGGCGGAUUCCCAGAAGUUGGUGACGAGGAAGACAGUGUGAGCGUUGGCGAGCGCAGGGGCGAGGGAGGAGGGGGAGCUCAUGUCCGCCUGGAGUUGGGGUUUUUUGUGUCAGAUCAGAUUUUCCUAAAGAGGAGACUGACUUCAGGGCAGAAUAGUGGAUAUGAUGGAGCAAUGUGGGAGGUGAAAAUUGAUAUCUGUAGAGCUUCCUUAAAAACGUACACUCAUGAUCUCAACCCCCUGGUUAGCCAACUCCUGGGCAGAUGGCUUGGAGGGAUCGCGGGUGAUGCCCCGAAUUUUGAACUCCUUGGAUAGAGUGGGAUGGGCGAGGAUGGCUUUGAUAACGGAGCCACCCUGAUUGCCUGUGGCCCCAAACACGGUGAUGAGCUUCGACAUUGUGUAGACAAGCUACAGAGGGAUAUUUGUUGGAUUGAAAUUGGAGAAGAGGUGCUGCUGUUAGGCUUGCUGGUCUGGUGAUUUUGAAAGAAUGGGGCUUGCUGGUACUGCUUCGGACUGAUUCUAUUCAACUGCGAUUUGAGGAUUGAUCAGAGAUCUUGAUCCGGCGGGGAAUUUGGCGGCUAUAUAUAUGCGUAUUUCAUAUUCUUAGUUGUGGCAUUCGCAGCAAGCUCACAGCCUAAAUCCCAGGUUGGGGCAC